rnacentral:misc_RNA from 1 species
GACCAUCCUCAUCUCCUCCUUGUGCAACUUAUUGGAUUUAAGAUUAUCAAUUUCUCAUUCCUCUUCAUUUGCCACCUCUAACUUAGUCACUUCUUCAUCCAUAAUUUCUAACAGAGUGCCCAAUUUACUUGCAUAUGAUGCUUCUCAAGACAGUCAAGUUUAUUGGGAAGAAGAGAGGCAACUUUCUUUGGUAUUACAGUACCAAAUAAAAUUGGAAUGUUCACAAUUUAAGAGUUUAUAGUAUAUAAUUGUACUUUAUUAAUGCAGGUGGUGGUAUCAUUCAAAGCUCAAAAGCAAAUCAUAGAGGCAUACAACAAAAAAUCCAAUGAUAGAUCAAAACCAACAAAUAAAGAGAGAACUACAGAGAAUCCCCUGGGCUUCUAAUGCACAUGCCAAGGAGCCCCUAAAAGGC